rnacentral:lncRNA from 1 species
GCCCGGGCUUGGCUGCUCCCCCUGCGGAAGAAGGAGCAAUUUUUUGUCGCGUUUGGCCCUUCCGCCCCCGGCCGCAGCGGCACGACGGAGGGAGAAGGCUUCCCUCACCCGGCGCCGGCUCUCCGACCGGCUUCCCGUUGCUCGCGCAGAUGGAAUCAAGAAAGUAGAAACCAAAAUUUAAAAAGUUUUUCGAACAUUUGCAUGCAUUUGGUUCUCUUAUCUGACGGAACAUCAAAAAUGGGCAACAGACUCAAGUCUGUUGCAUCAUUUUUCCUCUGCAACAGGAGGAUUCACAGAAGACGUGUACUGAGGUAAGCUGAAAGGUAUAAAAGUUUGCUCUUAGGAAAAUUGUAUUUAAUGCUUUUUCUAAUCUUAUUAGGAUCAGGACAAGAAUGCAGUAUGCUGGAGUGUAUUUCCACUCUUUAACAAGAAGGAAAGGACAGUUAUGUGGUGCUCAGCUGUGUGGAGACAGGCAGAGUCUGUUCAGCAGCAGAAAGUCCUGAGCUUAGAGGACUGAAAUGCCUGAGGAAAUUAGGUACGUGGCUGAUGUCAGCUCUAGCUAAGCAUCUUCCAAGAUGCAUGAAUAGAGAACAUGACAGUAAAGGGAAUGCUGGAGAACUGCUUUUAGACUUUGUGACACAGGCUAUAUAGAAUUAAAAGUAUGCCGCUCUCUUGCUGUGACCUGGCAUUCAGUGUGUACAGGCUACAUUCACUCACACCAGCAACAGCUAUUAGGAGAGGAGUAUCUUUCCGAAUUUUUGGACUGAUAGUACAAACUUUUAAAAACACGAAUGAAAGAAUGAUUUAAGUGGAU